UACGUAGGUGGCGAGCGUUGUCCGGAUUUAUUGGGUUUAAAGGGUGCGUAGGCGGUCCUAUAAGUCAGUGGUGAAAUAUCGCAGCUCAACUGUGAGGGUGCCAUUGAUACUGUAGGACUUGAGUGAAUUUGAGGUAGGCGGAAUUGACGGUGUAGCGGUGAAAUGCUUAGAUAUCGUCAAGAACACCGAUAGUGAAGACAGCUUACCAAGCUUCAACUGACGCUAAGGCACGAAAGUGUGGGGAUCAAACAGG
rnacentral:rRNA from 1 species